rnacentral:rRNA from 1 species
GAUGAACGCUAGCUACAGGCUUAACACAUGCAAGUCGAGGGGAAACGACAUCAAAAGCUUGCUUUUGAUGGGCGUCGACCGGCGCACGGGUGAGUAACGCGUAUCCAACCUGCCCACCACUUGGGGAUAACCUUGCGAAAGUAAGACUAAUACCCAAUGACGUCUCUAGAAGACAUCUGAAAGAGAUUAAAGAUUUAUCGGUGAUGGAUGGGGAUGCGUCUGAUUAGCUUGUUGGCGGGGUAACGGCCCACCAAGGCGACGAUCAGUAGGGGUUCUGAGAGGAAGGUCCCCCACAUUGGAACUGGGACACGGUCCAAACUCCUACGGGAGGCAGCAGUGAGGAAUAUUGGUCAAUGGGCGAGAGCCUGAGCCAGCCAAGUAGCGUGCAGGAUGACGGCCCUAUGGGUUGUAAACUGCUUUUAUAAGGGAAUAAAGUGAGUCUCGUGAGACUUUUUGCAUGUACCUUAUGAAUAAGGACCGGCUAAUUCCGUGCCAGCCGCCGCCGUAA